UACAGAGGUCCCAAGCGUUGUUCGGAUUCAUUGGGCGUAAAGGGUGUGUAGGUGGCGCCGUAAGUCGGGUGUGAAAUCUCGGGCUUAACUCCGAAACUGCAUUCGAUACUGCGGUGCUUGAGGACUGGAGAGGAGACUGGAAUUCAUGGUGUAGCAGUGAAAUGCGUAGAGAUCAUGAGGAAGACCAGUGGCGAAGGCGGGUCUCUGGACAGUUCCUGACACUGAGGCACGAAGGCCAGGGGAGCAAACGGG
rnacentral:rRNA from 1 species